rnacentral:lncRNA from 1 species
AGAAAUAGGACAGCAGCCAUUCCAGGUAGCAGGGGAAUGGCCCUUCCUCACUUUCUGACGAUUUUUUUUUACGCUCUUCUGUCUUUGGGGAAAGCGGCAGGCUAAGGAAAACCGGGAAGCCACGCAGACCUCUGCCUGUGACACAGCACGUGGGCUGGCCUCUGGCAACUGACAGAGGGAACAUUGCUGCUGAUGCGAAGAAAAGUCAUCAGAGAUUCUAAAAAAUAACGGUAAAUAUAACUAUGGCGGAUAAGCAAGGAGGGACAGGAGGUGACCAAGGCCACAGUGGGGAGAGACCUAGCAGAGAGAGCACCCACCUCAAUCAGGCCACAGCCGGGACGGAGGUUCUGAGCCACGUCUCCUGAGUUCAUUUACUCGGUGGAAGUCAAUCUUAAUUGUCAAUUCGAUGAGAUUUUUAAUCGCCAUGGAAACAGACCUCUGAGCAUGUCACGGAGACAGUUUCUAUAUCAGGUUAAUCGAGGUACAUCUGAGGUACAACAGUCUACCUCAUAGUGGCCUCUGACAGUCCAAAGCACGAGCGGUCAUUGCCAGGGCAGCUCCAUUGUCUGCCAGAGCCCUCUCUGCUCUGCUUAUAGCUGUCUCAUGCCAGCCGAGUCGCUUCAGCAUGCAGGUGCCUGCCUCUGCUCACCCCCUGUCAGUUCCCAGAUCAGAGACACCAGGAUGCCCCCCGUAAAAAAUUUUCUUCUUUAAGUUGCCUUGGUCAUUGUGUCUAAGUAGCUAAGACACCUUGCUCGGUUUUAAACUCACUCAUUCAAAACCAAAACCAUAGCUUUCAUAAACCAUUCUCUGGACUGUACAGAACAACUCCUUAAGGCAAACACAUAUCUGUGGAUUCUAUAUAUGGCCAAGCAGGUGAGUGUCUCCUUGGAUGGCUGAGAAAUCAGGUAAUGAUGAUAGACAUAAAGUACCAAAUGUCUAUGGUUCCAGGUUAACUCAUUCAAGGCACAGGCAUGUUUGUGCUGAGUCUGUUUUAAUCAAUGCAACAUGCCUGGGUUUGGGGUUGCUAUUUCUCUAGAAAUCUCCAAAGAUUUCUGCCCUAACUCAUAGACUAUAUAGGUGUGGGCACAUUGCAGUCAUCUGAAGACCUGCAAACUAUGGCAUAGUGUAAGACCUUUGCCUCCUGAUGUCAUUAGCCCUUUCCAAGGGGUGCUUGCUACUUGAGUAAUGGCUCCCCAGUGCUCUGUUUAUAGGAAGGGGCCUGGAGAGCAAGUCCAUCUCUCAGGGUUUGCUUUCCUUUCAUUCACAUGAGCAGGUCUUAGCAGACAAUCCUCCUGGUGUGAGAUCUGAUGGGAAUUUGGGGUCACAGAAGCAUAUCAGUGAGGGUUGGGGGCUUUGCGAGGUUAUCAGAUGACCCUCUUGACUUUGCUGGGUCCUGGGAGGCAAGAAUGACAGGCAAAGGAGCCACUGAGUAGAUGUGAACGCCUUUAAUUCCUGUACUGAGGGAAGCACGGGCAGGUGGAUCUCUGAGUUCAAGACCAGCUUGGCCUAAAGAACAAGUUCCAGGACAGCUAAAGAUAAACAAAGAAACUCUGUCUCAAAAACUCAAAA